rnacentral:lncRNA from 1 species
AAGUAUUAUCGCCUUUGUGUCAAAAAAAUAGGUAUAUCAGGAUAUGCACAUGGCACAUGCACAUGCUGUAGUGGCUGCUACUUUUGUCUUUUAUAAAUCUCAUAUAAUUCUUAUUUUCUUCCAAUAUUCUAUAAACCUAGAUCAUUGAUAGGCUUCGAAUAAGCUCUAUUAAACCUUAAUUAAGUUAGCCAACGGGGUUUAGCUGAGUGAAAAAUAGCUUUGACUUACAGAUCAGAGGUCCCAGGUUCGAAUUCCCAUGACAUCAUAGUUGUGUGUGUGUGAGAGAAAUCCUCAUUCCCUGUAGUUUAGAUUAUCGCUUGUACUAUAUAUAUAUAAAAAAAAAAAAAUUCAACUUGACCAUAUGAAGUCGGAGAAUCUUAGGCACAGCUCCGCAAAUGUAUAUAAGGUCCAUUGCCAAGCUAAGUACACUUACUUGACCCAUCAAGGCUU